UCCCUCCAAAAAGCACUUGUUGGGUCUGUUUUUCGAUGGCCCAGGGAGUUGUCAUGGAAGGGUAAAGAAACAGCAUUACUUUUGGGUGAGGUUACAGCUUGUGCUGUUGUUCCUCAAUCGGUAAUGCAACAAAA
ensembl:snoRNA small nucleolar RNA, H/ACA box 21